GACUGUUCCCGGUGACCAACGAACAUGAACCCAAGGAAUUUUGGAAUCAGUAACCGGAAGUUUUAUUUACCGCCAUGCUGUAAACAAAGACAAAGGAAACGUAGAAAAUAAAGAAUAACCUUAUCAUGCGUUAAAACUGGAUCAAUUAGAUGUACCAAAAUGUAUGAUAGAUUUUCUGAAAUGCAGAUUAAAAUGGAGAAUGGAAAUGGGGAUUUUAAAAAAGAAUAUAAGCUUAGAAACGAUUACAACCAUCCUGGAAGAGCAAAUUAUAUGGAGAAGCAAGCAGAUGUC